CCUGCGUUCAAAAUUGCAUGGCGGCCGCCUCCACCUAAUUUUGUGCCGCCCCCGGCCAGAGCGAUUGAUUUCGCUCAACACAGCGUAAAGCUCCAGCUGUGUUGAUUGAGUGUAUGAUGUCCCUCUGCUGCAGCAACGUAUUUUAACUGCAGUUGCAGCGUUGCGCCACUAUAGAGGCGCUAUAUCAACAGCAGUGCACCGGAAAGACCUGAAGCCUCUACCGAAGAAGAAACGGAUCGAAUCAUGUUUUUUCAAGUUUUUUUCCCGCUAGUUGGUGCUAUCGGCGUCCUGAUUUUCCCUGGCGGAUGGUACAAACAGGUAAAUACUGCUUGUCUUUUUUGCAUCCAAGCAUGACGUGUUUAUUUAAAAAAAAGUUUCCUCCGUUUUUUAGCGUUGCAGAUAUGACAGGCAAAAUCAGCCAGUACUUUAAAAAGCGACCUCGCAAGGAGGAAAGUCAAGAGUCCAGGUGAAACACAGCAGAGAAAAAACGUAAUAGGCAGUUAAAAUGCUAUAAUUCAUAGUGGUGACAACGUGGAAAUUUGUGUCAGGUCUGAAAGUACUUCACAAGGGACUGGUGAUCGCGAGGGUCAGAAUGCAGGACAGGACGAGUCGGCGAGGCGAGGGUAAUUAAUUAAUUAGUUUCCAAUUAGGAGCAUAACAACGCAAAGCCAACGUGUACGUGGUUUUUAUUCCUCUUUCCAGAUUUUCUCAAAAACACAGAGCCAGUGGCUUUGACAAGCAAUGGCUCAAUCAAUUUACCUGGCUCAGGCAUACUGAGGAAGGCAUGCACUGCUAUUUAUGCCAAAAGCACUGUGCCCCAACACAGCAGUCAAUUGCUGCCUCCUUAGUGAGACAGCCAUCAACCAACUACAGGCUGGACACAUUAAAAAGACAUGAGGUGAUAGCCGUUCACAAAGCAGCAGAAGAGAAGGAGAAAUAUAUUAAAGAUGGUAGUACCUAAAAACACUCAACUAAUAAAUAAUAACUAAUAAUUAAUAAAAAAUAAAUAAAACUAAAAGAACAUAGUUUAGAUAGUUUAAGAAAUAAUUAGUUUUUUUUUAUAGGGAGGACACUGCAGCGUAUACAUAUAUAUAAUAUAUGAUUGAAAACACUAUCACUCUUCAUGUCUGUAUCAGAAUAAAAACAAAAAUACUUAAUGCAUGAUGAAUUGUUUUGUUUAAGGUGAAGACACCUCUGUGGAACAGACUGAAGGAGAGGCACUUGGAUGUCUGUUGUAAGGUGGCUGUUGAUGGACCAGACCAGGAGGCCUUGGACUACAAGGAGUGCAUGAGGAGGUUCUACAGAAUGAAAAAGAGGAGGCUGAAAUGUUCUGUCUGGUUGCGAGAUGUGUGGAUGAAGUGUACUUUCAAUUUAAAGUUGCCAGCUGAUUUGUGUAUGUAUAUAGUUUUAAUAAAUGAAUGCUUUAACAUGAUAAUGGUCACACUCUUUUUUGAACUCUUAACUUAAAGUAUGUUGCCUGUAAAAGAAAGUGAGACAGUUGAAUUUACAAAUAUAUGCACGUCAUGGCGCAUGGUCAGGAUGGUGCCACCUCUGCCUCAAUUUGAGCCAGGAAAAACCCUGCUUUAAGAUG
rnacentral:lncRNA from 1 species